GGCGAACGCUGGCGGCAGGCCUAACACGUGCAAGUCGAACGGAUGGAUUAAGAGCUUGCUCUUAUGAAGUUAGCGGCGGACGGGUGAGUAACACGUGGGUAACCUGCCCAUAAGACUGGGAUAACUCCGGGAAACCGGGGCUAAUACCGGAUAACAUUUUGAACCGCAUGGUUCGAAAUUGAAAGGCGGCUUCGGCUGUCACUUAUGGAUGGACCCGCGUCGCAUUAGCUAGUUGGUGAGGUAACGGCUCACCAAGGCAACGAUGCGUAGACGACCUGAGAUGGUGAGCGGCCACACUGGGACGGAGACACGGCCCAGACUCCUACGGGAGGCAGCAGUAGGGAAUCUUCCGCAAUGGACGAGAGUCUGACGGAGCAACGCCGCGUGAGUGACGAAGGCUGUCGGGUCGUAAAACUCUGUUGUUAGGGAAGAACAAGUGCUAGUUGAAUAAGCUGGCACCUUGACGGUACCUAACCAGAAAGCCACGGCUAACUACGUGCCAGCCGCCGCAGUAA
rnacentral:rRNA from 1 species